rnacentral:tRNA from 1 species
AUCGAGUUAGUUUAAAUAAAACUUCAGGGUGUGGGCUUGAAAAUGAAAGAUAUAAAGAUUUUCACUUGAUA